rnacentral:rRNA from 1 species
UACGGAGGGUGCAAGCGUUAUCCGGAUUCACUGGGUUUAAAGGGUGCGUAGGUGGCUUUGUAAGUCAGUGGUGAAAGCCCGGAGCUCAACUCCGGAACUGCCAUUGAUACUGCUUAGCUUGAAUCAGGUCGAGGUGGAUGGAAUAUUACAAGUAGCGGUGAAAUGCUUAGAUAUGUAAUAGAACACCGAUUGCGAAGGCAGUUCACUAGGCCUGUAUUGACACUGAGGCACGAAAGCGUGGGGAUCAAACAGG